rnacentral:rRNA from 3 species
AGCCUGAUCCAGCCAUACCGCGUGGGUGAAGAAGGCCUUCGGGUUGUAAAGCCCUUUUGUUGGGAAAGAAAAGCAUUCGGUUAAUACCCGGGUGUUCUGACGGUACCCAAAGAAUAAGCACCGGCUAACUUCGUGCCAGCAGCCGCGGUAAUACGAAGGGUGCAAGCGUUACUCGGAAUUACUGGGCGUAAAGCGUGCGUAGGUGGUUGUUUAAGUCCGUUGUGAAAGCCCUGGGCUCAACCUGGGAAUUGCAGUGGAUACUGGGCAACUAGAGUGUGGUAGAGGAUAGUGGAAUUUCCGGUGUAGCAGUGAAAUGCGUAGAGAUCGGAAGGAACAUCUGUGGCGAAGGCGACUAUCUGGGCCAACACUGACACUGAGGCACGAAAGCGUGGGGAGCAAACAGGAUUAGAUACCCUGGUAGUCCACGCCCUAAACGAUGCGAACUGGAUGUUGGGUUCAACUUGGAACCCAGUAUCGAAGCUAACGCGUUAAGUUCGCCGCCUGGGGAGUACGGUCGCAAGACUGAAACUCAAAGGAAUUGACGGGGGCCCGCACAAGCGGUGGAGUAUGUGGUUUAAUUCGAUGCAACGCGAAGAACCUUACCUGGUCUUGACAUCCACGGAACUUUCUAGAGAU